rnacentral:rRNA from 1 species
UACGAAGGGGGCUAGCGUUGUUCGGAAUUACUGGGCGUAAAGCGCACGUAGGCGGUCAUUUAAGUUGGAGGUGAAAGCCUUGGGCUCAACCCAAGAAUUGCCUUUGAUACUGGAUGUCUCGAGACCGGGAGAGGUGAGUGGAAUUCCGAGUGUAGAGGUGAAAUUCGUAGAUAUUCGGAAGAACACCAGUGGCGAAGGCGGCUCACUGGCCCGAUACUGACGCUGAGGCACGAAAGCGUGGGGAGCAAACAGG